rnacentral:rRNA from 1 species
GAUGAACGCUGGCGGCGUGCUUAACACAUGCAAGUCGAACGGAAAGGCCCAAGCUUGCUUGGGUUCUCGAGUGGCGAACGGGUGAGUAACACGUGGGUGAUCUGCCCUGCACUUCGGGAUAAGCCUGGGAAACUGGGCCUAAUACCGGAUAGGACCACUUCUUGGAUGUUGUGGUGGAAAGCUUUUUCGGUGUGGGGUGAGCUCGCGGCGUAUAGGCUUGUUGGGGUGGUCAUGGCCUACCAAGGCGUCGACGGGUAGCCGGACUGAGAGGGUGUACGGCCACAUUGGGACUGAGAGACGGCCCAGACGCGGAAGGGAGGAAGAAGUGGGGAAGAUUGAACAAGGGGCGCAAGCCGGAUGAAGCGAGGCUGCGGGGGGGAUGACGGCCUUCGGGUUGUAAAAUCCUUUCGCUAGGGACGAAGCGUUUUGUGACGGUACCUGGAGAAGAAGCACCGGCUAACUACGUG